GCCUCAAACCUAGCCCACACGACCCGCAUGACGCCCACAAACUACUGUAAAAAACAAAACAUUUUAACAUUUUAGUAUAGGCGAUAGAAACAUUACUAAGCGCUUUAGAUAAAGUACCGCAAGGGAAAUAUGAAAUAGAAAUGAAAUAAUACUUCAGCCACAAAUAGCAGAGACACCCCCUCGUACCUUUAGCAUCAUGGUCUAGCUAGUCCACCCGAGCAAAACGAAAAUUUUAGUACGACCUCCCGAAACUAAGCGAGCUACUUCAAAACAGCCCUAAAGAGCCAACCCCUCUCUGUCGCAAAAGAGUGGGACGAUUUUUAAGUAGAGGUGAAAAGCCUACCGAGCUUAGAGAUAGCUGGUUAUUCAAGAAAAGAAUUUUAGUUCUACCUUAAGUUUCUGUAUUAACCCUAUAAACCACUUAAACUUAAGAGUUAUUCAAAUUAGGUACAGCUUAUUUGAAACAGGACACAACCUCCCCCAUUGGGUAAAGAAGGGCAAUAAAAAUAAAGUGGGCCCAAAAGCAGCCACCUUUAAAAUAGCGUCAAAGCUUAACUAUCACAGCCCCCAAUUACUUAAACACCCCCAACCCCCUAACCCAUAUUGAACCAUUUUAUACUACUAUAAAAAUGAUUAUGCUAGAACUAGUAACAAGAACUUGCCCUUCUCCUCAUGUAAGUAUAAACCAAAACGGACACUCCGUUGGUAGUCAACGUAAAUGCCAAACUAUAAUAACAAAUACCAGAAAACCUUAUAGCCCACCAACGUUAUUCUAACACCGAACAUCUCAGGAAAGAUUAAAAGAGAGAGAAGGAACUCGGCAAAUUUUAGCCCAACCGUGCGAAGGUAGCAUAAUCACUUGUUCUUUAAAUAAGGACUUGUCGGAGCUUAAACCCCAAUAUACACCCCCUUCGCUCAAGCACCAAGUUUGAACCUCAAGAGCCUGUAUAUUGGUUUUAGGCUUGGGGGGCCACGGAGUAAAAUUAAACCUCCACAACAAAUGGGCUGAAUUACCCUUAUCCACGACUUACAAAUCUAAGAAUCAUCAAAAUGAUGUUUAAUGACCCGAUAAUUCGAUCAUUGAACCAAGUUACCCUGGGGAUAACAGCGCAAUCCGCUUCAAGAGCCCAUAUCGACAAGCGGGUUUACGACCUCGAUGUUGGAUCAGGGUACCCCAGUGGUGCAACCGCUACUAACGGUUCGUUUGUUCAACGAUUAAAACCCUA
rnacentral:rRNA from 1 species